UACAGAGGUCUCAAGCGUUGUUCGGAUUCAUUGGGCGUAAAGGGUGCGUAGGCGGCGCGGUAAGUCGGGUGUGAAAUCUUGGAGCUUAACUCCGAAACUGCAUUCGAUACUGCCGUGCUUGAGGACUGGAGAGGAGACUGGAAUUUACGGUGUAGCGGUGAAAUGCGUAGAUAUCGUAAGGAAGACCAGUGGCGAAGGCGGGGUCUCUGGACAGUUCCUGACGCUGAGGCACGAAGGCCCAGGGGGAGCAAAACGGGG
rnacentral:rRNA from 1 species